ensembl:lncRNA
GGGCGGUGUGUGACGGGAUGCUGGUACAUCGGCGGUUCAUCAGACAUCAUUUGAUGGAGCGUUAUUUAGGAGCAGCGCGACAGACGUCUGGUGUCGGAGUACUGUCGCCUAUCUGAGUGCCGGAUCCAUCACCCGCUUGCCUGUCAGCUGCUGGUGAAGCCGUAUUUCCGGGAUCACUUCAAACAUCAAUCGCAUCUUUAUCUUCGCAUCCCAGAGAUUUUCGCCCGAGCUUGUACUGCCAGUGUGACAAAUCCACCCUGCGUGCGCCGAUUACCCCUUUCCCUCCGAGUGUGUGUCAGCCCCCUUCCCUGGUUUCCCUCUGUUUAUUUAUCACUGGACAUAAUCUCCCACCCUAUGUAAAUAAUCCAGACACUGUAAAUAAA